AUUGAACGCUGGCGGCAUGCCUAACACAUGCAAGUCGAACGGCAGCACGGGAGCUUGCUCCUGGUGGCGAGUGGCGGACGGGUGAGUAAUGCAUAGGAAUCUGCCCAGUAGCGGGGGACAACUUGGGGAAACUCAAGCUAAUACCGCAUGCGCCCUACGGGGGAAAGCGGGGGACCUUCGGGCCUCGCACUAUUGGAUGAGCCUACGUCAGAUUAGCUUGUUGGUGGGGUAACGGCCUACCAAGGCGACGAUCUGUAGCUGGUCUGAGAGGACGAUCAGCCACACUGGGACUGAGACACGGCCCAGACUCCUACGGGAGGCAGCAGUGGGGAAUAUUGCACAAUGGGCGAAAGCCUGAUGCAGCAAUGCCGCGUGUGUGAAGAAGGCCUGCGGGUUGUAAAGCACUUUCAGUAGGGAGGAAAAGCUAGUAGUUAAUACCUGCUAGCCCUGACGUUACCUAUAGAAGAAGCACCGGCUAACUCCGUG
rnacentral:rRNA from 1 species